rnacentral:rRNA from 1 species
AACCAGCACCUCAAGUGGUCAGGAUGAUUAUUGGGCCUAAAGCACCCGUAGCCGGCUUUGUAAGUUUUCGGUUAAAUCCAUGCGCUCAACGUAUGGGCUGCCGGGAAUACUGCAAAGCUAGGGAGUGGGAGAGGUAGACGGUACUCGGUAGGAAGGGGUAAAAUCCUUUGAUCUAUUGAUGACCACCUGUGGCGAAGGCGGUCUACCAGAACACGUCCGACGGUGAGGGAUGAAAGCUGGGGGAGCAAACCGGAUUAGAUACCCGGGUAGUCCCAGCUGUAAACUAUGCAAACUCAGUGACGCAUUGGCUUGAUGCCAAUGCAGUGCUGCAGGGAAGCCGUUAAGUUUGCCGCCUGGGAAGUACGUACGCAAGUAUGAAACUUAAAGGAAUUGGCGGGGGAGCACCACAAGGGGUGAAGCCUGCGGUUCAAUUGGAGUCAACGCCAGAAAUCUUACCCGGAGAGACAGCAGAAUGAAGGUCAAGCUGAAGACUUUACCAGACAAGCUGAGAGGUGGUGCAUGGCCGUCGCCAGCUCGUGCCGUGAGAUGUCCUGUUAAGUCAGGUAACGAGCGAGAUCCCUGCCUCUAGUUGCCACCACUACUCUCAGGAGUAGUGGGGCGAAUUAGCGGGACCGCCGUAGUUAAUACGGAGGAAGGAAGGGGCCACGGCAGGUCAGUAUGCCCCGAAACUCUGGGGCCACACGCGGGCUGCAAUGGUAACGACAAUGUGUUCCGAAUCCGAAAGGAGGAGGUAAUCCUCAAACGUUACCACAGUUAUGACUGAGGGCUGCAACUCGCCCUCACGAAUAUGGAAUCCCUAGUAACUGCGUGUCACUAUCGCGCGGUGAAUACGUCCCUGCUCCU